AGUCUGGUGCCAGCAGCCGCGGUAAUUCCAGCUCCAAUAGUGUAUAUUAAAGUUGCUGCAGUUAAAAAGCUCGUAGUUGGAUUUUGAAUUAUAAAAAUUUAACAUUCAUCUUUUAGAUGUGAUUUAAUUUUUAUAUUCUUCCUUUUGAUACGCUCCAUCAAAUUAUAUUUUUUGGAUUUAAGUGUUUCAAAUUGUUUACUGUGAAAAAAUUAGAGUGUUCAAAGCAGGCGUAACCUAGCCUUUGAAUAUAUUAGCAUGGGAUAAUGAAAUAGGACUUUAAUCCUACUUUCGUUGGUUUCUAGGGCUAAAGUAAUGAUUAAUAGGGAUAGUUGGGGUCACUAGUAUUUAAUUGUCAGAGGUGAAAUUCUAAGAUUUAUUAAAGACUAACUACUGCGAAAGCAUUUGACAAGGAUGUUUUCAUUAAUCAAGAACGAAAGUUGGGGGAUCGAAGAUGAUCAGAUACCGUCGUAGUCUCAACCAUAAACUAUGCCGACCAAGGAUCCGAGGUUGUUAAUAUGGAUGACUCUUCGGGCACUUAUAGAGAAAUCAUAAGUAUUUGGGCUCCGGGGGGAGUAUGGUCGCAAGGCUGAAACUUAAAGGAAUUGACGGAAGGGCACCACAAGGAGUGGAACCUGCGGUUUAAUUUGACACAACACGGGAAAACUUACCAGGUCCAGACACAGUGAGGAUUGACAGAUUGAGAGUUCUUUCUUGAUUCUGUGAGUGGUGGUGCAUGGCCGUUUCUAGUUGGUGGAGUGAUUUGUCUGGUUAAUUCCGUUAACGAACGAGACCUUAACCUAUUAAAUAGUUAUUUAAACUUGAUUUUUAAAAUCAAAUGUUUAAAAAACUUCUUAGAGGGACUCUUCACUGAGAGAGUGAAUGGAAGUUUGAGGCAAAAACAGGUCUGUGAUGCCCUUAGAUGUUCUGGGCCACACGCGCGUUACACUGACAUAUUCAACGAGCAUUAUCCUUACCCGUCGGGGUUGGGUAAUCUUUUAAAUGUAUGUCGUGCUGGGGAUAGAUCAUUGUAAUUAUUGGUCUUGAACGAGGAAUUCCUAGUAAGUGCGAGUCAUCAACUCGCGCUGAUUACGUCCCUGCCCUUUGUACACACCGCCCGUCGCUCCUACCGAUUGAAUGGUCCGGCGAGAACUCAGGAUGGAUAUGGAUUUUGGACACCGUUAGGUGCUCCAACCAUAUCCAGAAUUUGUUCAAACCUUACCAUUUAGAGGAAGGAGAAGUCGUAACAAGGUUUCCGUAGGUGAACCUGCGGAAG
rnacentral:rRNA from 1 species